rnacentral:tRNA from 1 species
AUCUUUCUAGUAUAANCAAUAUAAGUGACUUCCAAUCACCCGAUCUUGGUUAGAAUCCAAGGAAAGAUA